UUGAACAUAAUUCACAACUGAAUUCACAAAGCAGUAACAGGUAACUGCGCAGCAGACUUUCAGAUCAGUUCAUUACAUUUUUCAGUCGAAAGUGCAUUACAGGAGCCCAGAGAUGAUCAAAAAUUGAGAGCAGAAGAAAUUUGAGGCUGACCAGGAUCCUGAAGUGAGGAGCAGUCCCUUUCCCAUUUAACAGCAUUCAUGAGCAGAAAAUGGGGAAGCAGAAAUGCUGAGACAGUUCAGAAGAAACAUCACCAGAAGCCACAGCAACAGCAAAGGAAGCUUAUAUGGAAGUAUUUUUGAUUUUCUCCCUUUCCCCUACCCCCUGGCCCCUGCUGACUCUAACAUAACUAACCAUCCCCUUUCCUUUCCCCCUCAUUCGUCUUCCUGAAUUCACUGUCAUUGUUUUCUGAUUUUUCAAUGAAUUGUGUUGUACUGAUUUUAUUCACUUGAAUUUUUGUGAUUUGUUGCAUUGUUUUGAAGUCUUACUAAUCUUGUGCCAGUUUAUACUUUCAGGGACUCGGAAGAGGAACAACGAUGGAGGAGCAAGGUCGACCAACAGAAGAAGACGAGAUGACGAGUCCAUUUCCCAUCUCUAUACAGCAGCCAACAUGGCCCAAAGUGGUAAGUAACUUUUCGUGAUUUGUUGCAUUCUUUUGAAGUUUUACUAACAUUGUGCCAGUUUUAUACUUUCAGGGACUCGGAAGAGGAACAACGAUGGAGGAGCAGGGUCGACCAACAGAGGAAGACGAGAUGACUAGUCCAUUUCCCAUCUCUAUACAGCAGCCAACAUGGCCCAAAGUGGUAAGUAACUUUUCGUGAUUUGUUGCAUUCUUUUGAAGUUUUACUAACAUUGUGCCAGUUUUAUACUUUCAGGGACUGGGAAGAGGAACAACGAUGGAGGAGCAGGGUCGACCAACAGAGGAAGACGAGAUGACGAGUCCAUUUCCCAUCUCUAUACAGCAGCCAACAUGGCCCAAAGUGGUAAGUAACUUUUCGUGAUUUGUUGCAUUCUUUUGAAGUUUUACUAACAUUGUGCCAGUUUUAUACUUUCAGGGACUGGGAAGAGGAACAACGAUGGAGGAGCAGGGUCGACCAACAGAGGAAGACGAGAUGACGAGUCCAUUUCCCAUCUCUAUACAGCAGCCAACAUGGCCCAAAGUGGUAAGUAACUUUUCGUGAUUUGUUGCAUUCUUUUGAAGUUUUACUAACAUUGUGCCAGUUUUAUACUUUCAGGGACUGGGAAGAGGAACAACGAUGGAGGAGCAGGGUCGACCAACAGAGGAAGACGAGAUGACGAGUCCAUUUCCCAUCUCUAUACAGCAGCCAACAUGGCCCAAAGUGGUAAGUAACUUUUCGUGAUUUGUUGCAUUCUUUUGAAGUUUUACUAACAUUGUGCCAGUUUUAUACUUUCAGGGACUGGGAAGAGGAACAACGAUGGAGGAGCAGGGUCGACCAACAGAGGAAGACGAGAUGACGAGUCCAUUUCCCAUCUCUAUACAGCAGCCAACAUGGCCCAAAGUGGUAAGUAACUUUUCGUGAUUUGUUGCAUUCUUUUGAAGUUUUACUAACAUUGUGCCAGUUUUAUACUUUCAGGGACUCGGAAGAGGAACAACGAUGGAGGAGCAGGGUCGACCAACAGAGGAAGACGAGAUGACAAGUCCAUUUCCCAUCUCUAUACAGCAGCCAACAUGGCCCAAAGUGGUAAGUAACUUUUCGUGAUUUGUUGCAUUCUUUUGAAGUUUUACUAACAUUGUGCCAGUUUUAUACUUUCAGGGACUGGGAAGAGGAACAACGAUGGAGGAGCAGGGUCGACCAACAGAGGAAGACGAGAUGACGAGUCCAUUUCCCAUCUCUAUACAGCAGCCAACAUGGCCCAAAGUGGUAAGUAACUUUUCGUGAUUUGUUGCAUUCUUUUGAAGUUUUACUAACAUUGUGCCAGUUUUAUACUUUCAGGGACUGGGAAGAGGAACAACGAUGGAGGAGCAGGGUCGACCAACAGAGGAAGACGAGAUGACGAGUCCAUUUCCCAUCUCUAUACAGCAGCCAACAUGGCCCAAAGUGGUAAGUAACUUUUCGUGAUUUGUUGCAUUCUUUUGAAGUUUUACUAACAUUGUGCCAGUUUGAUACUUUCAGGGACUGGGAAGAGGAACAACGAUGGAGGAGCAGGGUGGACCAACAGAGGAAGACGAGAUGACGAGUCCAUUUCCCAUCUCUAUACAGCAGCCAACAUGGCCCAAAGUGGUAAGUAACUUUUCGUGAUUUGUUGCAUUCUUUUGAAGUUUUACUAACAUUGUGCCAGUUUUAUACUUUCAGGGACUGGGAAGAGGAACAACGAUGGAGGAGCAAGGUCGACCAACAGAGGAAGACGAGAUGACGAGUCCAUUUCCCAUCUCUAUACAGCAGCCAACAUGGCCCAAAGUGGUAAGUAACUUUUCGUGAUUUGUUGCAUUCUUUUGAAGUUUUACUAACAUUGUGCCAGUUUUAUACUUUCAGGGACUGGGAAGAGGAACAACGAUGGAGGAGCAGGGUCGACCAACAGAGGAAGACGAGAUGACGAGUCCAUUUCCCAUCUCUAUACAGCAGCCAACAUGGCCCAAAGUGGUAAGUAACUUUUCGUGAUUUGUUGCAUUCUUUUGAAGUUUUACUAACAUUGUGCCAGUUUUAUACUUUCAGGGACUGGGAAGAGGAACAACGAUGGAGGAGCAGGGUUGACCAACAGGGGAAGACGAGAUGACGAGUCCAUUUCCCAUCUCUAUACAGCAGCCAACAUGGCCCAAAGUGGUAAGUAACUUUUCGUGAUUUGUUGCAUUCUUUUGAAGUUUUACUAACAUUUUGCCAGUUUUAUACUUUCAGGGACUGGGAAGAGGAACAACGAUGGAGGAGCAGGGUCGACCAACAGAGGAAGACGAGAUGACGAGUCCAUUUCCCAUCUCUAUACAGCAGCCAACAUGGCCCAAAGUGGUAAGUAACUUUUCGUGAUUUGUUGCAUUCUUUUGAAGUUUUACUAACAUUGUGCCAGUUUUAUACUUUCAGGGACUGGGAAGAGG